rnacentral:rRNA from 1 species
AUACGUAGGGGGCGAGCGUUGUCCGGAAUUAUUGGACGUAAAGGGUGCGUAGGCGGCCUUUUAAGUCAGGUGUGAAAGGUCACGGCUCAACCGUGGUAAGCACUUGAAACUGGAAGGCUUGAGUUAAGGAGAGGAAAGUGGAAUUCCUAGUGUAGCGGUGAAAUGCGUAGAUAUUAGGAGGAAUACCAAUUGCGAAGGCGACUUUCUGGACUUAAACUGACGCUGAGGCACGAAAGCGUGGGGAGCAAACAGGAUUAGAUACCCUGGUAGUCCACGCCGUAAACGAUGAGUGCUAGGUGUCGGGGGUUACCCCUCGGUGCCGCAGCUAACGCAUUAAGCACUCCGCCUGGGGAGUACGUGCGCAAGCAUGAA